AAUAUUGGACGAUGGGGGAAACCCUGAUCCAGCCAUGCCGCGUGUGUGAAGAAGGUCUUCGGAUUGUAAAGCACUUUAAGUUGGGAGGAAGGGCGUCAAGCUAAUACCUUGAUGCUUUGGCGUUACCAACAGAAUAAGCACCGUCUAACUCUGCGCCAGCAGCCGCGGUAAUCCAGAGUGUGCAGGCGUUAAUCGGAAUUACUGGGCGUAAAGCGGGGGUAGGUGGUUCAGUAAGAUGGGUGUGAAAUCCCCGGGCUUAACCUGGGAACUGCUUUCAUAACUGCUGAGCUAGAGUACGGUAGAGGGUAGUGGAAUUUCCUGUGUAGCGGUGAAAUGCGUAGGUAUAGGAAGGAACACCAGUGGCGAAGGCGACUACCUGGACUGAUACUGACACUGAGGUGCGAAAGCGUGGGGAGCAAAC
rnacentral:rRNA from 1 species